GGAGUUUUGCUCUUAUUGCCCAGGUUGGAGUGCAAUGGCGUGAUCUCGGCUCACUGCAACCUCCACCUCCCGGGUUCAAGCAAUUCCCCUGCCUCAGCCUCCUGAAUAGCUGGAAUUACAGGCGUGUGCUACCAUGCCCAGCUCAUUUUGUAUUUUUAGUAGAGACGGGGUUUCUCCAUGUUGGUCAGGCUGGUCUCGAACUCCUGACCUCAGAUGAUCCGCCCGCCUCAGCCUCCCAAACUGCUGGGAUUACAGGCUUGAGCCACCGCGCCCGGCCAAACAGGGUAUUUCAUAUAUUUAUACAUUAUUUAUUAUUAGUCAUAUGGUCUCACACAAACCUCACAAUAAUUUAAUGAAGUACUUAUUAUCAUACCCAUUUUACAGAAAGGCAAACUGAGAUACAGUAAUGUUAAGGAAUGUAUCUAAAGUUCCACAGCUCUUAACUUAAUUAAUAUAAAGUCAGGUUUCCAACUCCAUCUCUUUUGAAUGCCUCCUUUUUUCCACCACACCAUGAAGGUAUGUGCAAUUUCCUAAAAACAGACUGGAUUUAUGGUUUGGGAGUUAUUGGGGAAGACAAUAUGAAGUAAUGUUUCUUCCUCGUGGAUGCAUUUCACUGCCCAUAUUUUGCUGCAAAUAGUUGGAAAAUCAGCAUCAGAAUAAUGUGCACAAUCUACAGUGUUCCAAGUGUAAUUUUCAGCGUGGAAUUUUAGCAUGAACUUUUAAAACCUUCAGGCAUUCAAGAAAAAACCUAAUCAGUAGAGUAAGUCAAAUUCUAAGAAGCCACAUCUUUAUUGCUAAUCUGGAGGCUUCCCAGACACUUAAUUUUCUCUUCUUCCUUCCUGCUGCUCUCAUUAGCACCUCCGAAAGAAAGAGGAGGUAACGCUCAAGUCAAUCAAAUCACUAACUCUUAGAAGCUAUGGCUUUUGCAGGUAAAAAGCUAGAAUCAUCGCAAAAGUAUUACCAAAGAAUUUCAACAUUCCACUGCAAUCUUGGAAGAAUGUUACAAAGGAAAGACGUUAGAGAAUCAAGAGUUCUUCUAUCCAAAUAAAGGAGCAAUGAAAAUAUAGAGAAACAAUUUAAGAUUGUUAUGUCCAACUUGUGAUAGAGCAUAGGCAGUGAGGGAAGAGCCUUAGGCAUCUCAACUGUGGGCUAGAAUGGUGAGGUUCUUUGACGGAGGCCAACCUUUUCCAAUGUACAAAGGUCCAUUGGAUGGAAGAUGUAUUCCGCAUAGUCAGGGUGCUGUUCCAAUGGAACGGGCUUCUGGAAUGCAUCUGUCUAUAAAAGAGAAGAUAUGCAGAGGAACGAACCCAUCAUUACUAUGGAAAACCAAGCAUUAAUGCUAACAAAAGGCUUGAAAAAUUGAGACAACUUUUCAGACAAUAUAGUUC
rnacentral:lncRNA from 1 species